AGCCAGCUGCAGCAGCUGCUGGGGAAAGGCGGUGAGCUGGUUGUGGUCCACGUCAAGGGUCCGAAGGUGGUUGAGGCAGGAGAAGGAAUCUGGCAGAUGCGCUAGCCGGUUGAAGCUGACAUCCAGCUCCUCCAGCUAAGACUGGCUACAAACUCCAGCUGAACGUUCCUGUCCCUACACAUCUUUCCUGUAUUCCAUCUUCAGCAUCCUUGACUCCUCCAUCUUGACAGAUCUUUGACUCCCACCCAAGCUGAAGUUUCACUGCCACCCAUGUGACCUUGUACCUCUCCGAGAUCUCCACCCUUAUCAUAUCAUCAGCCUUACCCUCUCAAAGGGCACUUCACCGUUUCCUCUCCUGUGAAUAUGCAUUGAGAUGGAAAACUUCCUUUGGAUGCUGGCUUCUUCCCUGGUCUCUCAGUUCCAGAAAACACUGUGUCCCAGAAAAGCCGUUCCUUCGCUUGGUUCAACUGCUUUAGACUCUGAAAAUAGCUCUGACUUCAUUCACUCAGCUGCUCUGGAGUUCAGAAGUGAAGACAGUCAUGGCUGGAAGUAUUAACUAACUCUGGAGUAUAGAAAGGACCUGUGUGGUCCUAAAAGAAAAUUUGCUGAUCAGGAAACCCUACAGAGCUAAGGGCAAUCAGGACCAGGUGACUACAUCUUAGGAGAAGGUGAAUUGAACUCCCCUCAAAGUCUGGAAAGGUUGACUAAUGCAUCUGUUUGGAACAAGCUCAGAACCUUUUAGAACCUUUACCUCUUUCUUUCUCAAAUGGCCUCCAUUUCUGUAAAGCCAAAUUAAAAAGGAGAUGGGCUAUUCAAAAUCUUGGAGGUGAGAUCACCUGUGCUACCUUUAGCUGAAUAGGGAGGAGAAGUAUUGCAAAGUGUUGGCUAGGUCUAAAAUUACAAGAGAGGAGAAGUCUGGGGGCCCACCCUGGCAUCCAUGGUGAAGGCUGAAGUGUUCAACAUGCAACUACUUCAGAAGAAACUUCCACUACUGCCCUCUUUCUACAGCCAGAAAUGAAGGCAGCAUGGUAGUCAUGUUGCCCAGACCACCGAUACCGAGUCCCAGUGACUGCAGUGUCUGAGAGUCACCGCGGCCAGUCACAGAAGCUGCCAUGUAUAAAGAAUUUCCAUGUCUGCAAGGCAUGGUGCUGUAGCGUUUUAUCUAAUACUCACAAGUUUCCUGAGUUGGGGGCUCUAAUGCAGAAUUGAGAGCCAAGAGACAAUAGUAGUAAGAUGUAAAGUCAAAGCAUGGCAGAAGGCAACACUCAGACAGCUGGUCCCUGAGCUUGAAGAUUUGUGGAAGGUAGAUGUGACCAGUCUUGGGUCUCUGGGUAUUUUAAGCCAAUGAGUAGUAAGGCCAGGUACAGAGGAAAACUGGCAUUGGCUUCAGGGGACAUUGUACUGGGCUCUUAAAGAUAUAUUCAAAGAAUGUCACGCUGGACAGGCACAAACCUCUUAAACCCAAACAGUCUUCCCAAACCGUGGCUCAGAGCUUGACAUCUGGACCACAAGCUCGCUGCGAGCUGUUAUUUCAUUUGCUUUACAUGGAUGGGGUUUAAAAUCAGUGUCUAUGCAACCUGUACCUCAAUUGAAAGGCAGUUCACAAUC
ensembl:lincRNA predicted gene, 16793